GCCAAAUUAUAAUUGCAUUUGUCAACUCGGGCGAGGGUCACCUUCCACUCCCUCUUUGCUCCUUUGCAUAUCAAAAGAAAAAAAGGAAAAUUAAAGAGGAAGUGUCAGCUAUGCAAUGCGGUAGAACUAGCUGGCAAGGGGCUGAGUAUUAACAUUCUAUUUCAAAGAUCGAAGGCUCCGUGCAAAACUCAAAAGGAGUUGAUUAUAAUUCGGCUUUGGAUCUAGAAUGAGGAAUCUUCUUCCGGAUCUAAGCGGAAAUUUACCGUAGUUUUUGAUUGAGCAGAAUUGAUUUGGCUGUUGUUUCUAAUUAGCCGGGGACCCGGUUUAUGUCUGCGCGUAUCCAAUAUUAAAUUCAAAUCAAUUUGUGGGCUAAGAGAUCAGCUCCCAAAGUGAACACUGAAGGCAAUUUUGUGGCAUUGUUCAGUUUUGAUUGAUUUUUAUAGUUCAACUUUUUCCUAAUAUUGACACGCAUCCUUAUCGUCUGCUAAAAGUAUUUACUUUUUGUUUUGUUUUUUUUUUUUUUUUUGUUUUUGCUUACAAAACUAAAACAUUUACAUGUUAACAAUCACAUUUCAAUUUAUUAAUCACUUUCUGCUGUAAACUCAUUGUCACUCUAGCUCCAGUAAUUAGUGAGAGUCACUGAUGUUGAUUUACUGACUCCACUGUACGUUUUUUGUUCCCUACUGGAAACUUAUCUUUGAUUGCAGCUGCAGGUCUUUGUUGGCUUAAAUUAAGUAUCCCAGUCUUAUUGCUAACACUAUUUCUCAUUAUCUCUACUUAAUUUGAGCAUUUGCUAUUUUGUUUCAUGGACAAUUCAGUUUCUAUUGUGAACUUGUUUAUGGUUCGACUGUUCUAUAAUGAUUCAAUAUUAUAAUUCUUGAUAUGCUUGUCUUAUUAAAUAUAUGAGAGCUUGCAUCUAUUUGAUUCUUCCAGUUCGUAUAAUGUACCAGAAGAUUAUACUGGCUUUUAUUUUGACAGCACUAAGUUCAGCUUUUCUAUUCAACAACUAAAUUGAUUUGGGAGCAUGAGAAGCUGCUGUUUCUAGGUUUCUUUGCGAUGUUCUGCUCAGACUUUGCUUGCAGAUGAUUGUGACACCCACCUCAAAUGGAUAGACAUGUGAAAAGAACUAUGACUGGAAUGGCGAUCUGAAAGCCGCAUAUGGCAUAGAAAUUAGACAAAGUGUGCUUACAUACCUUAUUCGCUUCUUUUAAUUUCGUCUUCACAUAUAAUUGAUGAGGUAAUUUAUUCUUUUUUACACAUUACUUAGAUGAUUCAGGCCUUAAUAUGGAACUUAAGGCUUUAUUUGUUUCACCAAAAAUAUUUGUAAGGAUAAACUGUCUGGUGCACGGAAAGUGCUUUCCUGAUCAAAGAGAAAAUGAAGCCAAUUUCAAAGAAAAUGG